ACUCCUACGGGAGGCAGCAGUGGGGAAUAUUGCACAAUGGGGGAAAGCCCAUCGAUGCAGCGACGCAGCGUGCGGGAUGACGGGCCUUCGGGUUGUGAAAUCCGCAUUUCAGCAGGGAAGAAGCGCAAGUGACGGUACCUGCAGAAGAAGUACCGGCUAACUACGUGCCAGCAGCCGCGGUAAUACGUAGGGUACGAGCGUUGUCCGGAAUUAUUGGGCGUAAAGAGCUCGUA
rnacentral:rRNA from 1 species